UGCCUCCUCGGGGCCCUGAUGACCGUUCUGGUGCUGUCCUUUGUGAUAUGCGGUGAGUUGACACCCAUGGGUGUCCUUUUUGGGGGUGCUGGGGACUGGGGACACCCCCGUUUGGGCUCAGUGUCCCUCUCCCCCAGUGUCUUGGCUGCUGGUGGAGAGGCAACGGCUCCCGGGGGCCGUGGGGUGCGGGAACGCGUCGCGGGGACAAAGCUUUGCCACCCUGGACUGCACCCACCUGGGGCUGAGGACGAGCCUGUGCCCCCCCGGAGGUAACCCCCCUAAAAUAUCGCAUCCCCCAUGUCUGAACCCGGCUAUCACCCACCCCGUGGCGCUGUGGCGGGGCCGUACGCGUGGCCGUCUGUCCGUCUGUCCGUCUGUCUGCAGACGGUGGGGGCUGCAAGCUCUGUCCCGUGGGGUGGACGCUGCACAGGAGCAAGUGUUUUUGGGUCGCCAGCAAGAGCAGCUCCUGGAGGGAGAGCCGGGAGAACUGCAGCCGUCAGAGCGCCCAGCUGCUGGUGCCAGAGGACCAGGGCGAGCUGGACUUCCUAAAUCGAGUCGUACAGAAACCCACGCGCUACUUCUGGAUCGGCCUCUCCCGGCCCUCCGUGGGGACGGGUUGGACCUGGCUGGAUGGCUCCCGCCUGGACCAGAGCCGGUUCAACCUGAGCACCCUGAACGCCAGCGGAGCCUGCGGGGUGCUGAGGGAGGACAGGAUCAUCUCCGAAACCUGCGGCUCUGCCUUGGCGUGGAUCUGCCAGAAAGAGGCCGUCCUGCUCUGAGCGGGGCAGAAAUUGGGCGGCCACUUGGGAAAAAAAAAAGAACAAAAAAGAAUCCACUUUGCUUUCAAAAUAAAGUCUCACCCCUGUGGGCUUCGUGUUCUCUGCUAGGGCUGCUGUAAUUUCAGCGUGCAGGGGGUAUUUUGGAAGGGAUGGCUGGUGUGAAGAGGGGGAAAUGAGGUUCUGGGAUUUUGGGGAGGCAGGUGAAAAGGCAGCUUUUUUCUUUUUUUCUUUUUUUUUUCUUUUUUUUCCCAGAAAUGCUAUGAAAACGUCGGCUUGUGCAACCCCGACCUUGUGAGCUCCAGAGGAGCUGGAGCUCAUCCCACCUGCAGAAUAAAUGCCUUUUUUUCUUUCUGUAGCCCUUGGCC
rnacentral:lncRNA from 1 species